UCUUCCUCUCUGUCACUGUUAUUCUUCCCCUUUAUUAAUGGAAGGCACAGUGGUGUGGUGGUGACGGCGGUGGAGGUGAUAGUGGCUCUUGGCUUGGCGUGACGCCACCGAGGGGCCCAGCACUGACACUUUAUACACCAGCAGGUUUACCAAGGUGUUCAUUUCAAGAGCAUCUCCUCUGCUUUGGCUGCUCCUCCUUUUACUCCCUUCGGCUGUGGAAGGUAAAUCAAAGCUGGGGAUGAUACAGGAGACCUUAUUCAAUCCAGACAGUUGUCUCACACAUAUGGAAACACAAACACACACACACACACACACGUAUACAAAACUACAUGCUUGUUUGCCUCUGUGCACUUGUGUGUGUAGGUGUUCUCGAACAUUCAUCAAUCCACUUCUUACCAUGUAAUCCCACAGCGCAGAUCGCUCUUUGCCUGUUUGACUCAUAAGCAGCCAGGCAGUUUAUUUUACAGCCUUUCUGCUCAAGUCGCGGCUAAGCAUAACAAUACACCAGCGGACAUGUGUUUGUCAUAAACUGGAAGGCUCAAAAUUGCAUUACAAUCGUUUACACUUUGAACAAAGUUCAAAAAGAAUCAUUGUACACCACAUUUAAUUAUGCGUUAUACUUAAUGUUCAUAAUUCACUAGUGAUUUUCCACUGCUGCUGGACACUGGAAGCCUAACUACAGCAAAAACAACAUGGGCUAAUCAACCUAAGUAAGCCUUUUAGUAACAGUAAAUGCCAAACCCUGUUUGUUAUGCUUCACAGGCCAAGUCUCUUACUUCAGGGACUCCAUCUAAGGGGCUGGAACUCAAAUAUUCUGAGUUAGUGACAUGCUACAGGCAUGGCAGUAGCAACGCAAGCCCGACUGAAUUUAUCAGACCUUUGCGAGGGGCAUAAAUGUCCAUAGGACUUUGCUAACAUCCUGUGUUGCAGAUCAAGCCAACAUUACCGUCUGGUGCACAUGGAAGAGCUCAAUUACAUAACUUAAGACUUUCAUUAGCCUCUCUGCUCCAUUGACUUCUCUGGGAAAGGUCCAGAUGUGACUUCAUGAAGGGCUCUCUCUAUGCAGAGCUCUGUUCCGCUGUGCCCCCCUUCUCAACCCCCGCAGCUGUAAGCACUCAGAAGAAACCAGCGAGAGAGGGGAGGCUGGCUGAGAGCUUUAUUAAAAAAAUCAGACACCCCAUAGACCCCCCAAUCAUGCUUCAAAAAAAAAAAAAAGAGAGAGAGAAAAGUUCCAGCCCCACCCAAAGCAGGCCUAUGGUCCCCUUCUACCCCAUAGGUCUUCUAAAGUAGGCCAAUAAGUCUUUUAGCAUGUGGUCUCCCUGUCAGCCUGAGGUGGCUGACUAGACAGGCUGCUGCUCCAGGCGCAGGGGCAGGAAGUGGGAGCCGGCCAGGAGACACUCUCUGAGAGGCUGCCCAAGUAAACAACCCUCCCCCUUCAGCACACAUGCUCAUACACAUUUCUAUGUGUUUAUAUGCUCAUUUGGAUGUGUUUAUAUAUGACUAGUAUACACACACACACACACACACACACACACACACACACACACACACACACACACAUAAUACGUCACCUCCAGAAAUUCUGACAAACUUUUACUGGGAAACAUUAUAAAUCUGAAUGGCACUGUCUCACUGUUAAUAUCAUUAUGGUUUAUGGAUGACUUUAAUUUAUUUCAGGCUUUGGUUUUGCUUAGACCACAAUGCACUUUUAAGACUGAAAACUGGAAAUAGCUGAGGGCCUUCUAAUCUAAUUAAUGGCUGUGUUGUUUGAUCGCAUGUGUGCAAGGCAUGAAUUUGUACAGCUGAGUGUGCACCACUGUGGAACGUCAUUCUAAAAUCUUAUGCCAAAGUAACAAUUUCUACAUUAAAGAGGGAGUUUGUUCUACUCAUUGCUGGCAUUUGAUAUCCAAAUCUCCUGUUGUGUGACUUCGUGUCUGAGUAUUAUGGCCGUGACGAUUUUCCAGAGCAGGGCAGCUGCUUGUGUGACUGUGUUUCUGGGAAGGCAGCGGACACAGGUGGCGAAUAGGUUAGGGCUGUGAUUUAUCGAGAGCUCUUUUGCCACGCAUUGUGCUGCGGCCUUCCUUUGGGCCUCAGUCUGCUCUCACACAUUAUAUUGAACUUGUUGCUUGUUUUUCUGUGUCGCUGAUAACAAUGAUGUUUGAUUCUCAGAGCGGAAAACCCAGAUGAGUUCCUCUCAGAGAACGAAUUUAUUGUUUCCCCAUGUGGAGCUAUUGUAUAGGUGAUUUAGCUUUUUCUUGGGUAGAUGUAGACCCCAGGAAAGAUGUUGUCUAUUGAGGUGAGUCUUAAAUCAAAGCUCUAAUCCUUAAGAGCACAUCAAUAUUAGGGUUGGGAACUUUUCUAAGUGGUUCUUCUACGCUGACUGCUUUUUUGAGGGUGGCAUCUGUAAUGUUAUCAGCGAGCAGAUAUUGGUUAUAUGCAGGAGAUGGCAAUGUGAAACUAAAGUAAGACAAAUAAGCAAUAUUAUUUAAAAUAUCAGGUGAUUGGCAGUUUAUUGCAGAUUAUUCUGAAUACUGUAAACCCCCAAGAUCUUCAGUACAACUCUAAUGUGAAGCUUAGUUUUAACUGUUAUUUAUAUUUGGUAUUUAAGGGUUAAAAAUCAGAGUCAGAUGUUUGUCUUCAGUUAUGUGAUGACUCAUUCCCUGGAUUGAUUUGGCAUGUUUGCUCAACUGAAUCUGUGGCUUCAAAAAUACAGAGCUCUAGAGGCCUCGGCUUCACUUUUUUUGGAAAUGUAAGCAAAGUUUUCAAGGCUCAUAAGUAAGGUGUCAGAACACACACCUCUGGACCAUUAUAUUGCUCUGCUUGCCAAUACAAUCUGCUUGUUAAGUGAUGACCUAUCAACCUUGUUCCAAGGUCCAAGGUUUAAGGUGUUGUAACACUUUGUCUCUUGUUUUACUUGAUAGAAACAAGCCCCUAAAAAUCAUCGGUGGUUACUCUUGGCCUCUCUGGCUUUUCAUUAGCUCUAUUCAUGUGCAACUCGUCUUUAACCUCAGUGUUUAAAAACUCACAGGCUACACUACAGACCAUUACAAACACCAGCUUAGGAGCGUGACUUUUUCAUAGCGAGUUGUCCAAACCACACAGCAACAUAUUAAUGACUAACUUGAUGUUACAGAUAGAUCAUCUUGUUUUGGUCCUUUUUCAACGUCUUUGUGCUUCUAUAUGACGAUAUUUGUCUCAGCUUGUCUAGGACCCUCAACGUGAAUGUGCAUUGAGGAAAAAAUUACCCAAAUUUAUCCAACUUAACCAUUUAAUACAUCAUCUCUUUGCUAAUGUGUUUACAUUAGCCUAACCGUAGCUCUGUAGCUAGCCACCAGGUAGCAUGUUAUAAAAGGUAAGCUAGGACAACCUCACUAACCCUACAAGGUGCCAUUUCUCUGCUAUUUAGCUUUCAAUCUUUGUUCACAUCCAAAUGGAUAUAAGAGCUGUAUGUUUUAUUUUUAUAGAAAGCUUAAGUCAUACGAUGGUGUAACAUUGGCCGAGCUAACUUCCUACCAAUUUCUUAUUCCAGUAACCUUGUAAAUCCUCUUUUUGAUGGAUGCCCUUAUGAUAAGCCUUACUGUAACUUUGGGACAACAGCCACACUGAUAAUUUUAUUGGUACUGAUAGACUCUGGAUAAUUUUUAACUCUCAUUGGAGUCUCGGUGUUCAAUUUUUGGAAAAAUUUAGACCCAGAGGUGACUAAUGAUGUCAGACUUUACGAGCAGAUUUUUUACAAGCAAUAAACAAUAGUUUUUUUUAAACACUUGACUGAAUAAAUGUACCUGUAUAUACAAGUUCAGGAAGAUGCUGAUAUAAAAUUGUACAGGUGUGUUAAUGUGUAACAUGAUAAGCACUGUGCAAAGAGUCAUAAUAACAACAAGUUCUCUGACAAACAUAAUUUAUACAGCAAUAUUCAUUUGGAGAUAGACAACAUUUGAUAACAGCCACUCAAUGAUGAUACCAGCACAAGGUAGUAACAGCAAAACCCUACUGGACCAAGCCAACCAGUGUUGUCUUUAUUGUUUGCAAAUUAAGCCUUUAAGCUGGCAGGGUAUGGUAUUUUGCAUUUUGAAAUUGACCUUAUAGUAGUCUCUGUUUAACACUUCCACAAGUCAUUUUAGGCCAAGUCACAGAGCAGUCAAGUCUGAAGUUUGAAACUUAUUUUUGUGGUUUAGGUCUGACUCAAAUUUUAGUUUCACUUCUCAGAUCCCAACUCUGAACCCAGACACACUUCACUUCUAGUAAUAAUAAUAAGAAUUUGACUCAACUGUCUAUCAUCUUCUCGUAAAGUUUACAAAGUCUCACACAAAAGUGUUUCCCACUGGGCACAAAAUGAGUCUGUCAUUGCUGAUUUAGUAAUGCCCUUAUGCCAGCAUUACUCAAGGCUUCAUGUAAAGUUAGGCUUUAAUCCUUUUUUCCUCUCUACCUGUGCGAGUGCUUGUCACAACAGGUUAGCAGGUGAAGCUUGAGGGCGAGCACAGUACAGGAGCGAGCUUGACAGGUUUCACGUCGGCCUUAUCUUGAUCGAAGACAUGCCUUGAGAAAUCUGAGCAGCAGUCAAACACUUCCAAACAAUCUGGGUUGUUUUUAAAGUAAAAUUCCUCCAUCACGAGAAGCCUCAUGCAUGCUCCUGAGGGAGCGCACUGUUAAAUGCAUGUGUGUGUUUGUCUUAGACUUACAUACGAGCGGGAGAAUGCAUGCACGUUUGUCUCGUAUGUGUGUGUACGUGUAAACGAGUGGGUGUGAGAUCUGUGGUUUCUCACAGUCAGUUCUUAUCUUCGUCCCUCUGAGUCUCAGCCAGCAGAUCAUUGUGAAAUACACACGCACACAGAGACAGAGUUCACUUUUAACUAUUCCCUAACGUCCCAAGGCCAGAUACUGUAUCUAGGGCUUGUUUACAACUCAAACAAAAAAAAACUUAUACAGUCAUGGUUAUAUUAGCAGGAGGGUAACUGAAGUCCAGACGUACUCUCUGUGUCACUCUCUCUUCAUUCUUUGUCUAGUUUUCAAACACUGUUUAAACCCUUCUGGCCAUGAAAAGGCUUCUACUUUAUCUCUUUGCUAUUUCACAAUUUUAAAAACUUUUUUAAAGUCAACAUCAUGUGAGUGCAUUUGAGUGUUAGAUUGCAGAUAGAGAUGAUCGUCUAUGUGUAGUGCAGACUUGGCCUCGGUGCAAGGACUUCCUGUAAAACUGUCACUGAUGUCAUCUUUGUCUGCUUUUACCUCUAAAAGGCCAGAGUGACUCACAGUUAGCCAACUCUGAGUCUGUCGUUCUCUAAUAUACUUCUGUAGGUGUAAGGCUGUAGGAGGAAGUUUAUUUCUAGGAGCGUGAUAUGUACGUGUAUGUAUGUGGGUGGGUGGGUGUGUGUGUGUGUGUGUGUUUGCGUGUGAGGUCAUUUAAAUCAGUAUUGAUCUAGUGAGAAACUGAAAACUGCAUUUAAGAAGUGAGAAUGAGACUGUUUUCCAGUGUCGCUGUCACCAGAGGAAACAGAUGCUGCAAAACAAAACUGAGAAUCACGUGUCAAGGGUUGCCACUUUAGCCUGAGGGGAGGAAAAGCACAUGUGACACUGGAUCCAGACACGGCUAAUAGUCAUUAUUGGGUUAAAGGUGAAUGGAGAUUGGGACUGACAGCUGAACUACAAACUUGCUUUAUCCUGUUUUGCAGGAAGCAAUGAGUGAACGAGCUUGGCGACCCCCUCCAUCCGCCACCUUCGGAGGUUCAGAAACCCACUUCCUGGUACUUCAUCUCAAGGUGCCUCUAUGCGUACACCACACAAACAGGAAACAGCCCUCUUUCAUCAGCCUCAAACUGCAUGCACUUCAUGUUCUUCUGAAAGGGUGCAGCAACGAAAAAGGUGUGCAUCACUAACGCUCACCUGAUUUAGCUUGAGAAGCCUUUCCUUUGAAUUCGUUGUUUCUUUGCUUCUUAUCUUAUUAAAACCAAAUACGCAGAACAGUUUUGAAGUGGCAACAAGUUUCCAUCGCUUUCAUCUUGCUUCAGGCUUGCACCAAAUAAGACAGUAUGUGAUGUUUUAUACUCUGUGUGGCGUCUGCAGAUACAAGAACAGUAUGCAAUAUUGGUUUUGUUUGCCAAAAAGUCCCUUACAAAGAAAUAUAGAGUAUGAUAUCUUUCAAGUGAUGUUAAUUAAGUUUUAAGACCCUUGUUUCUUAUGAACAAAUUCUUGUAGAAUUCAAAUGAAAUGCAUGCAAACAGGCUUUUUCAAAGUUUCUGAAAGGGGUAAUGCAUAGAAACAUUCAUCUGCAAUCCAAGCAAUUUUCGAUGUGUUGUUCCCAAACAGAACACCCAUCUUUGCACAGGUAAAACAUUCCAUAAAGCCACAAAAAAGAGGCCUUUUAAUAAGCAAUUACUCUCCAUCAGUAGCAUUUAAAUAUACAUGUUAUAUCACCUCAUCUUUUUAAGCUGACUCCUUAAGAGCACCUUUGUAUAACUCACUUCUAAACAAGCUGUUGCAUCGUGGUUGCUGUUGAUCAUUGCUUUAUUUUAUAGGAACCGUGAAUGCUCUUUGGUUUUGAAUGUGUUUUGCACAUAAUCAAGAACUUUCUUUGCUUUAUCGUGGCCACCAGCAUGUUUUUAGACCAUUUCCAGCUGGUCUAAAAUGGGAUGGGGGAGUAGGUUGGUGGGUGAUGAAGAAGGGAGGGACCUAAGGAUCAAGACAAGACUCCACAAGGCCCAGGUUCUCAGGGAUAAAGCAACAAGGAAGCCUCCAUGGGUCAGCUGUGAUGGGUCAGCACCCACCAUUGUAUGGAGGGAGUUCCUGUUGCUGCUCCGGUUUUUUUGCAAUCUGAGAGAAUAUAAACAUGGACAGACGGGAAGUGUCCAGAGGCCGAGGAAAUGCAGAAGCGGUGCGGAUGUUGAGUCGAGUGCAUAAAGUGGAAGUUGCUACUGAAAUCGAAUACCACUCUGCUCACAUUAAUGGUCAACUUGUGAUUGUUAUCUGUAUUUGUUCUCAAUGUAAAAACAGUAUAUAUCAAAUUAACCCCAAGGCAUAUUGUGUUGUUUAACUAUGACUGCACCGUUUAUCCCCCUUUUUACCCGAAAUAUCCUUGUGUACAUAUUGAUUAGGUCACAACCUCAGCAAAUCUGUUUUUUAUUCUUGGAAACUUUAUGGUAACAGCUCCCCCUGAUCAAUAUUUCUGCUGAAACUAAGUAUGCCAGGUCUUUGUGUAAUCAAGCCUGCUCAGACUUUGACUAUCCCCGGGUCAAUACCCCUGGCUGCUGCCUGCACAGCUCACCAAUCAACUUGCACCACAGCGAAACUCCCUUUAGUUCUGUAUUAUGCAUCGAAAAAGCACUCACCUGAUUUCAGCCUCAAAUAUAAUACUGUGUCCCACUGUUGUUAAAACCCAAGUUUCCAGACUCUGACUGUGAGUAUGAUGUUACCAAAUGUAACUGUAGUUUCUUUUUCUUCACAUUUUGGGCAAAUGGCAACAUUUAAAGUAUGCAGUAUUAAUCAUUAGCUUCCUCACAGCAAUUAUUGGAUUUUUUGAUACUGAAGAAACUUGAAUACUGAUUAAGCUCUGGAAUUGUAAGGUUUUAGAAUAAGACAGAUUUUUUUUUUUAACUCACAUUCAUGGGAAGCCCUCUAGAGUUUGAAUGGGUACCCAAAACUGAGCAUAGACGUGCCCCAUAUUUGCCCAGUUUCCCAGAACUUUUUACACACCACUCAUCACAAAGUUGAACUUUUCAAAAAAUACAGGUUUAUUGACUUAACUGCAAUCAAUACUUACAAAAAGAGAGAGAGGAAAAACAGGUUUUCAUAUAAACUCACAGAAAUUACUGUAGUGAAAAAACAUGGCUGGGAAAAAAAAUAAAAUACAUUCAACAGUUUUACUUUCUUUGUGUCAGAAUUUGUUCACCUUUUCCGAACACUCGAAGGCAACACAGAACAAGUGACUUAAGGAGAAAAGGAAAAAAAUAAAAAAAAGUUGUCCUCCAUUAUCAAAUAUAAAAAGGCAGAGAGGCCUUAGCUACCUGGAAUGUAUUAAACGAGGCACUUCCACUGAUCAAGCAUCAAGAAUCCAAUUGAAUUAAAAGAAGAUACUUUCUUCAACUCAUUUGGUCACAACUAUUGCUUGUAUAACAGACUGGGUGACAGAACAUUACUGACAGAAAACAUUUCAACACAGCCAGCCUCUGAACUGCUAGACUCUGCUAAACCAGUGAUGUUACUAAUUUUCUUUUUAGCACCCCUUUAAGUCUACCAACAACCCGAGUACUGUAGGAAUACUCCUCUUCAAAGUGGGGACAAGAGAUCAGAAAAA